UCCCUUCUUCUAUCCGAAGAGUCAGUGCCCAGCCCACAGGCCACAGCCACACACCUCCGCCGUAGCCGCCUCAAGCCUACAGCUGCAUGCUCGGAGAAGCAUUUCAGCAGCUGCCACCAUCACCACGGCCCUUCCGUGAUCUCAGCGUCAGCCAUCCUCGUCUUGCUGACGAGCUGAUUGCUGUAUCCAAUUGCCCAUGCGGCUGAUCAGAAAGUCGUCGUCUCGGUGACAAGGCUGUGCAGGCAAUCAAUCAGGAAAUCUGCCGCUGUCCAAAACCAAAAGCCGGAAACCCACACCAGUGUGAAGGCUUGACCGAGCAACGGAGAAACACAAGUGCUAGUGCAUUUUCAAUGAAAAUUGUUACCUUGAUGCAAUAGCAAUAGCAGCUAAAGGAGUUGCAUCAACAUAAGCACUUUCAACAGCCAAUACACUGGAAUGUGAAAGAGAUAUUUGCAUAAUCAGUUUUUUAAGCAGAUGCAUGUAAAAGAGAUAUUGCAAAUAGUUAUCCUGAUGAUGCAGUACCAAUAGCAACCGAUUGUGAAGUUCUUAUUUUCUUUUUCUUUGACCUACAAUUUAAAGAAUUCAAGUUAGCUAACACUA